CGCGUCCGACGAUCAAGGCGUUCCCGAUCAAGCAACAAAAGACGUCCGCGACCCGAUAGAAGCAACUCGAUCCAUUCCAGCUCGUGUCCCGUUCGUGUGCAGCUCGCGGCUCAACUCAUUUGGUGGUCCGAUUCAACAAUCAUCUAAAGUUAAAAGGUAAUUCAAAACCUAAGAACCCAUAAUCGAACAUGGAUUGAUUGAUAAAGAAUGAAAUCCUAAAACCCUAAUCUUUAUGAAUCAAAACCAUAGGGUAAUAGAUCAAAAAUCCUAAUUGAGUAAAUCGAAGCUCUAAAAGUUCGAUACCCCAAACUCUAAAUCAUGUUCCUAUAUGAUUAAAACCCCAAAUCGAUUUUUACAAGUUAAAACCCGAUAAA
rnacentral:lncRNA from 1 species